rnacentral:rRNA from 1 species
GGAGGAAUAUUGGACAAUGGGCGCAAGCCUGAUCCAGCCAUGCCGCGUGCAGGAUGAAGCAUCUAUGGUGUGUAAACUGCUUUUGUACGAGAAGAAACACUGCAACGUGUUGCAGCUUGACGGUAUCGUAAGAAUAAGGAUCGGCUAACUCCGUGCCAGCAGCCGCGGUAAUACGGAGGAUCCAAGCGUUAUCCGGAAUCAUUGGGUUUAAAGGGUCCGUAGGCGGGCCAGUAAGUCAGUGGUGAAAUCU